rnacentral:rRNA from 1 species
AUACCGUGAAACUGCGAAUGGCUCAUUAAAUCAGUUAUCGUUUAUUUGAUAGUACCUUACCACUUGGAUAACCGUGGUAAUUCUAGAGCUAAUACAUGCUAAAAACCUCGACUUCGGAAGGGGUGUGUUUAUUAGAUAAAAAACCAAUGCCCUUCGGGGCUCUUUGGUGAUUCAUGAUAACCUAACGGAUCGCAUGGCCUUGCGCUGGCGACGGUUCAUUCAAAUUUCUGCCCUAUCAACUUUCGAUGGUAAGGUAUUGGCUUACCAUGGUUUCAACGGGUAACGGGGAAUUAGGGUUCGAUUCCGGAGAGGGAGCCUGAGAAACGGCUACCACAUCCAAGGAAGGCAGCAGGCGCGCAAAUUACCCAAUCCCGACACGGGGAGGUAGUGACAAUAAAUACUGAUACAGGGCUCUUUUGGGUCUUGUAAUUGGAAUGAGUACAAUUUAAACCCCUUAACGAGGAACAAUUGGAGGGCAAGUCUGGUGCCAGCAGCCGCGGUAAUUCCAGCUCCAAUAGCGUAUAUUAAAGUUGUUGCAGUUAAAAAGCUCGUAGUUGAAACUUGGGUCUGGCUAGCGGGUCCGCCUCACCGCGUGCACUUGUCCGGCUGGACCUUUCCUUCUGGAGAACCUCAUGCCCUUCACUGGGUGUGUUGGGGAACCAGGACUUUUACUUUGAAAAAAUUAGAGUGUUCAAAGCAGGCCUUUGCUCGAAUACGUUAGCAUGGAAUAAUAGAAUAGGACGUGCGGUCCUAUUUUGUUGGUUUCUAGGAUCGCCGUAAUGAUUAAUAGGGAUAGUCGGGGGCAUCAGUAUUCAAUUGUCAGAGGUGAAAUUCUUGGAUUUAUUGAAGACUAACUACUGCGAAAGCAUUUGCCAAGGAUGUUUUCAUUAAUCAGUGAACGAAAGUUGGGGGAUCGAAGACGAUCAGAUACCGUCGUAGUCUCAACCGUAAACUAUGCCGACUAGGGAUCGGGCGAUGUUUCUAUCUUGACUCGCUCGGCACCUUACGAGAAAUCAAAGUUU